rnacentral:snRNA from 1 species
ACAGAACAUCACCGUAGAAAU